rnacentral:rRNA from 1 species
CACGAAGUUAGCCGGGGCUUCUUCUCCGGAUACCGUCAUUAUCUUCUCCGGUGAAAGAGCUUUACAACCCUAAGGCCUUCAUCACUCACGCGGCAUGGCUGGAUCAGGCUUGCGCCCAUUGUCCAAUAUUCCCCACUGCUGCCUCCCGUAGGAGUUUGGGCCGUGUCUCAGUCCCAAUGUGGCUGAUCAUCCUCUCAGACCAGCUAUGGAUCGUCGCCUUGGUAGGCCUUUACCCCACCAACUAGCUAAUCCAACGCGGGCUCAUCAUACCCCGAUAAAUCUUUCCCCCGUAGGGCGUAUGCGGUAUUAAUUCCAGUUUCCCGGAGCUAUUCCGCAGGGCACGGUAGAUUCCCACGCGUUACUCACCCGUCUGCCACUCCCCUUGCGGGGCGUUCGACUUGCAUGUGUUAAGCCUGCCGCCAGCGUUCGUUCUGAGCCAGGAUCAAACUCU